GUCCACGCCCUAAACGAUGUCAACUGGUUGUUGGGAGGGUUUCUUCUCAGUAACGAAGCUAACGCGUGAAGUUGACCGCCUGGGGAGUACGGCCGCAAGGUUGAAACUCAAAGGAAUUGACUGGACCCGCACAAGCGGUGGAUGAUGUGGUUUAAUUCGAUGCAACGCGAAAACCUUACCUACCCUUGACAUGUCUGAAAUCCUGCAGAGAUGUGGGAGUGCUCGAAAGAGAAUCAGAACACAGGUGCUGCAUGGCCGUCGU
rnacentral:rRNA from 1 species